AACGAACGCUGGCGGCAGGCUUAACACAUGCAAGUCGAACGGUUGUAGCAAUACAGCAGUGGCGCACGGGUGAGUAACGCGUGGGAACAUACCUUAGAGUCGGGAAUAACAGCGGGAAACUGCUGCUAAUACUCGAUAUUCUCUCCGGAGGAAAGAUUUAUCGCUCUAAGAUUGGCCCGCGUCAGAUUAGCUAGUUGGUGAGGUAAUGGCUCACCAAGGCUCCGAUCUGUAGCUGGUCUGAGAGGACGACCAGCCACACUGGAACUGAGA
rnacentral:rRNA from 1 species